rnacentral:snoRNA from 1 species
AGGCUCUUGUCAUUUAUAAGUGUGAUGAUUGGGGUUUCACGCUCGUGUGUAACAUGUGCCUCCCACAUACCUGGUUACGAGUUGGCACAUCACCUGUCUGACG